UACGGAAGGCAGCAGUGGGGAAUAUUGCACAAUGGGCGCAAGCCUGAUGCAGCCAUGCCGCGUGUAUGAAGAAGGCCUUCGGGUUGUAAAGUACUUUCAGUCGUGAGGAAGGUGUUAAGGUUAAUAACCUUAGCAAUUGACGUUAGCGACAGAAGAAGCACCGGCUAACUCCGUGCCAGCAGCCGCGGUAAUACGGAGGGUGCGAGCGUUAAUCGGAAUUACUGGGCGUAAAGGGCACGCAGGCGGUUAAUUAAGUUGGAUGUGAAAUCCCCGGGCUUAACCUGGGAAUGGCAUUCAAGCUGGUUAGCUAGAGUCUUGUAGAGGGGGUAGAAUUCCAUGUGUAGCGGUGAAAUGCGUAGAGAUGUGGAGGAAUACCGGUGGCGAAGGCGGCCCCUGGACAAAGACUGACGCUCAUGUGCGAAAGCGUGGGGAGCAAACAGGGAUUUAGAUA
rnacentral:rRNA from 1 species